rnacentral:rRNA from 1 species
AUGACGCGGGUGGGAGGAGAUGGAUGGGUCUGUUUCAUCACCCACAUGCGUAUUACUGGUGGUGAGUUGAUCAGCUUCUCCUUCAAAACAGAAAGACCCAAGAUGGCCGUGAUUUAUGUCAACAAAGCAGAAGAUGAUGGGGAUGAUGAGGAUGAUGACGACCCACUUGUUGAAGCCAUUGUAGCUCAAAGGAUGAGGUUGAGCGAGGAGGAGGUGUGCAGCCUAUGGGACAUCAUUCCGCCACGUGCUGACUUCAUCGGAGUGUCAUUCGUGACCCGCCUGACAAGUACCAUGGUUGAUCGGCAUAACAUGAAAUUACCAAAGAGCUUAUCUGAGAGUUGUGGUAUCAAGCCUGAUGAAGAAGGCUCUGCUGGAAUACGCCUUACAGCGAGGGGCUCCGUCACCACUUGUGCGUACGGCGUGGACACGGACGGUCGCACACACUUCAACACGGUUGGGUGGAAGAGCUUCCUCGUCAGCAAGAAUCUUCAUGUUGGACAGGCAAUCCUAAUUACUAUCAGGAACACCCACCGCCCAGGCUUGAGGAUGAUGGUCGUCAUCGAUAUCAUCUAG